CAAUAACGUAUAUUAAAGUUGUUGCGGUUAAAAGCUCGUAGUUGGAUUUCUGUUGAAAGUGAUCGGUCCUCCCUCUGGGAGCGCAUCUGACUCGCUUUUGGCAUCCUCCUGUAGCGCGUUCCUGUCCUUAAUUGGAUGGGGCGAGAUGCAGGACUUUUACUUUGAGGAAAUUCGAGUGUUUACGGCAGGCAAUCGCCCUGAAGAUAUUAGCAUGGAAUAAUAAUAUAGGACCUUGGUUCUAUUUUGUUGGUUUCUAGAGCUGAGGUAAUGAUUAAUAGGGAUAUUUGGGGGCAUUCGUACUAACCGGUCAGAGGUGGAAUUCUUGGAUUCGGUUAUGACGAACGACUGCGAAAGCAUUUGUCAAGAAUGUUUUCAUUGAUCAAGAACGAAAGUGUGGGGAUCGAAGAUGAUUAGAUACCAU
rnacentral:rRNA from 1 species